GCCCCAGUGGAGCAGUCAGGAGUGCUCGCCUGCCCGUCACGCAGGAGGCCGUCGGUUCAAGUCCGUCCUGGGGUG
rnacentral:tRNA from 1 species